GAAAUGCGAUACGUAGUGUGAAUUGCAGAAUUCCGCGAAUCAUCGAGUUUUUGAACGCAAGUUGCGCCCGAGGCUUGUCCGAGGGCAUUUCCGCUAGAGCGUCACCGCGCCCCCCCACCACAACUCCCGAAUGCGGAGUUUUGAGUGGAACUGGCCGUCCCGGCAAUCGGGUCGGCUGAAAUGGAGGGAAUUUGGCCGCCGUGGCAUCACUUGCCCCGCGAUCAGGUGCGAUCUCGAAAGAGUCAUUCCAAGUGCGGGGCUCCCAGUGAGCCCGAGUGCGUGCCCCGAGUUCCACAGCAGGCUACCUUGAACAACACUUGGGCCAGCAAUGGCCCCAAGUGCUGCAAAGCGUAAAGAGAGGUAACGCAUCAGACCUCUAAUCGGAAAAGACUACCCGCCG
rnacentral:misc_RNA from 1 species